rnacentral:rRNA from 1 species
AGAGUUUGAUUAUGGCUCAGGACGAACGCUGGCGGCGCGCUUAACACAUGCAAGUCGAGCGAGAACCAGGACUUCGGUCCUGGGGACAGCGGCGAACGGGUGAGUAACACGUGGGUAAUCUGCCCUCGAUUCUGGGAUAGCCCGGGGAAACCCGGAUUAAUACCGGAUAGCCUUCCAAGCCUUCGGGCGAAGAAGAAAAGGUAGCUUCGGCCUCCGAUCGAGGAUGAGCCCGCGGUGGAUUAGCUUGUUGGCGGGGUAAUGGCCCACCAAGGCGACGAUCCAUAGCUGGUCUGAGAGGACGAUCAGCCACACUGGGACUGAGACACGGCCCAGACUCCUACGGGAGGCAGCAGUGGGGAAUCUUGCGCAAUGGGCGAAAGCCUGACGCAGCGACGCCGCGUGGGGGAAGAAGGCCUUAGGGUUGUAAACCUCUUUCAGGUGGGACGAAGCCACUCGGGUUAAUAGCCCAGAGGGUGACGGUACCACCAGAAGAAGCCCCGGCUAACUACGUGCCAGCAGCCGCGGUAAUACGUAGGGGGCAAGCGUUGUCCGGAUUUAUUGGGCGUAAAGAGCGUGUAGGCGGUCAGGUAGGUGGGUUGUGAAAACUGGAGGCUCAACCUUCAGACGUCGACCCAAACCCCCUGGCUAGAGUCCGGAAGAGGAGAGUGGAAUUCCUGGUGUAGCGGUGAAAUGCGCAGAUAUCAGGAAGAACACCCGUGGCGNNNNCNGCUCUCUGGGACGGUACUGACGCUGNNA